GUCAAAGUUUUGUGCUGCUGAUGGUGGUGUUAAGUGCCGGUGGGCUCGGCCUUCUUAUAAGUCUAAGUAACCCUUCUAUACUUCUUAUUGAGGAUGGUCACUUGAGCUAGCAUAUAUUUUAAACUUACAAAAAGAUUUGCAAUAUUUAAAAGUGAAAUUCUUUUGUAACCACUCCAAUAAAUACAAUGUAAACUUGUUGUAACUUGUUAAAUUUGGUAAUAAGAUUUCCGCUGCAAAAUUGUUGGUGUGUGAUUUGUGUUUACUUAAUCCUGCGGUCCUGGUUGUAAGUGGUUUAUUCGAGGUCCUUGGGGCACUCGGACAGAUCCUGUUAAGUUAUCUAGUGCACAUGCAUGGUCGUCUGAGGUCUUUGAGACAAGGACAGGUGCAUGUGGGCCCGAUACCUUGCGAGGUUCUGCCACAGUGCAACACUAUAUCAGGGAUCUGAAGUGCCCCCGAGGCUCCUUGUUGUAUGGUGGCAGUGACGAAGAUGACUUCCUUUACUGUCUGCCAGACAACAAAGAGAUACAUGUCUGCCAGGAAAUGAUGGUCAAUAUAGGAUAUCCGAAGCUUGAACUUGGCUUAUCUGUAAUUUCCAAGGAUGAGUUUGCAGAUAGCCUUGCUUACAAUAGUCUGAAGGGAUUAAUUCUAAGCAAGGCUUUAAAGGCCUAGAAGGAAGCAGAAGAUGAGAGCUGCCAAAUAGCUCUUGGGAAUCUUCGCUCAGAAGUCAUCACACUAUGGAACGAAGCUCUCAAAAAGGAUAAGGUAUUACUUUCCUUAGUGGAUAGGCUGAGAUCUAACGAAGCUAAAAUUGUUGCACAAGCCGAAGUGGAAGAACUAAAAAGGAAGGUUGUUGAAGCAACCGAAAAAUUUGAAGUUGAGGCGGUGAAACAUGAAAUUUGCAAGAUCGAAAGGUCAAGAGCACAAAAGAACACCGAUGAGCUACGUCCUUCGAAAGACAAAUGUUAUGAAAUAUCCUUAGAAUGAGUCAAGAAAUUAAAGGACAUAUUUGCUAGGGUUGGGGCAUAUUCUUCUGAGCAAAAAUUCAUCCACGACGACCCUGAUGGAGUUGUCCAGUGGAUCAGCGGGGAAGCCGAAGCUUUUGACGAAAUAUUAAGCGAACGAGGACAUUUCUGCGCCUUUGCUGGUGCACGGGGGGCCACGUCGAUCUUAGAGAAAGCUGGUUGCGAACAUGCCAAGGCUGCAGUUCAGCCAGAAUUUGUUUUUUUGGUGGAUGACAUUAAAAACCUUUGAGCCGAAGCUUCUACACUAGGCAGGAAAUUUUACUACGAGGUGUGGAUGAAGGGCAGCCGUGAGAUAGUUGAUGAAGCUAUUAGAAAGAAUGAAAAAGAAUCUCACGACGCUCAAGAAGAAGCCAAACGAGCUGAAGAAGCUGCUGAGCAUGCGAGGCUUAUAAGUACCUUUACUGAGGUAUAGCUUCAGAAUUCGUUUUUAGCUUCGGAAUUAACAAACAUAUUUUAUGAUGUAGCUGAACUUUCACCGCCACCGGAGCCAUACAACCCAGAAGCCAACCCAGCCUUGAAGGAAGCGCUAGAUAUGAUUAUAAUUGCUAAUGAAGCCGUUGACAAAGCUGUCAACAGAUUGCUUAACGAAGCCGCCAAGGAAGUGUUGAAAGAAGAUUAAAACUUUGUAUAUUUGAGAGCUUAGUUUUUGUACAUAUCUUUCGCUUUUGUAAGAACCGAGUAUCAAUUAUUUGCAUGUGUAUUAAUGUAAUA